UACACACCGCCCGUCACACCAUGGGAGCGGGUUCUGCCAGAAGUAGUUAGCCUAACUGCAAGGAGGGCGAUUACCACGGCAGGGUUCGUGACUGGGGUG
rnacentral:rRNA from 1 species